GCCCUUGUGGCGCAAUCGGUAGCGCGUAAGACUUGCAAGUACCCCCGAAGACUCCUUUACAUCAAACACCUUACUAACCAUCUCUGCAGCUAAUCUUAAGGCUGUGGGUUCGACCCCCACCAGGGGCU
rfam:Aspergillus niger supercontig An14